rnacentral:rRNA from 1 species
GUCUAUAGCCAUGCCACCCUGAACAUGCCCAAUCUCGACUAAUCUCGGAAGCUAAGCAAAGUUGGACCUGGUUAGUACUUGGAUGGGAGGCCACUUAGGAAUAUCAGGUGCUGUAGGCA